rnacentral:rRNA from 1 species
UACAGAGGUCCCAAGCGUUGUUCGGAUUCACUGGGCGUAAAGCGCACGUAGGCGGCUUUGUAAGUUAGAGGUGAAAGCCCGGGGCUCAACUCCGGAAUUGCCUUUAAGACUGCAUCGCUAGAAUUGUGGAGAGGUAAGUGGAAUUCCGAGUGUAGAGGUGAAAUUCGUAGAUAUUCGGAAGAACACCAGUGGCGAAGGCGACUUACUGGACACAUAUUGACGCUGAGGUGCGAAAGCGUGGGGAGCAAACAGG